rnacentral:piRNA from 1 species
ACGGAUUAUCACAAAUGAAGGCUC